GGUGGCUCACUGGUAGAGUGCUUGCCUUGCAUGCAUGAGGCCCUGGGUUCGAUUCCUCAGCACCA
rfam:Dipodomys ordii contig_6590, whole genome shotgun sequence.